AUAAUCUUUGAGGAGGUAACUGAAAAUGUGGACUAUUAUGUCCAAGGAACUACAGUUGCUGCAGGAAAUUUAUUUGGAAGACGUCGAGUUAUCCAAGUAUUUGCUCGUGGUGCUCGGAUACUUGAUGGUGCUUUUAUGACUCAAGAUUUGAGCUUAAAAUCUUCUAAUACAGAGAUGACUGCAGCUUCUGAUGGGGCAACUGUGUCCUCAGUUUCCAUAGCUGAUCCUUAUGUGUUGCUGAGAAUGACUGAUGGAAGCAUUCAGCUUCUUGUUGGAGAUCCAUCCACCUGCUCUGUUUGAGUCAUCAAUCCACCAGUAUCUUAAAACUCUGAUAAGUUGGUAUUAGCUUGCACUCUCUAUCAUGAUAAAGGUCCCGAAUCAUGGAUUUGUAAGACAAGUACUGAUGCUGCCUGGCUUUCUACUGGGAUUAGUGAGGCUAUUGAUGUGGCUGAUGGUUCAACACAUGAAUGGUGACGUGUACUGUGUUCUAUGCUAUGACAAUGGAGAUCUGGAGAUAUUUGAUGUACCUAACUUUAACAGUGUUUUCUUGGUCGAUAAAUUUGUAUUUGGAAGGAGCCACAUCUUAGAUACAUUUUCCAUGGCACAGCAAAUAAUCAUAUAAACCUCACAAAC